GAUGAAGAACGCAGCGAAAUGCGAUAAGUAAUGUGAAUUGCAGAAUUCAGUGAAUCAUCGAAUCUUUGAACGCACAUUGCGCCCGCCAGCACUCUGGCGGGCAUGCCUGUUCGAGCGUCAUUUCAACCCUCAGGCCCCGCCUGGCGUUGGGGAUCGGCGCGGCCCUCUCCGGGCUGCCGGCCCCGAAAACUAGUGGCGGUCUCGCUGUAGUCCUCCUCUGCGCAGUAGCAACGCUCGCACUGGAACUCGGCGCGGCCACGCCGUAAAACACCCCACUUCUGAAAGUUGACCUCGGAUCAGGUAGGAAUACCCGCUGAACUUAAGCAUAUCAAUAAGCGGAGGA
rnacentral:misc_RNA from 1 species